UACGUAGGGAGCAAGCGUUGUCCGGAAUCAUUGGGCGUAAAGCGCGCGUAGGCGGCUCGAUCAGUCUGCUGUGAAAGUCAAAGGCUCAACCUUUGAAUGCCGGUGGAUACUGUCGAGCUAGAGUCCGGAAGAGGCGGGGUGGAAUUCCUGGUGUAGCGGUGGAAUGCGCAGAUAUCGAGGAGGAACACCAACGGCGAAGGCAGCCCGCUGGGACGGUACUGACGCUAAGGGCGCGAAAGCGUGGGGAGCGAACAGG
rnacentral:rRNA from 1 species